AUACGUAGGGGGCUAGCGUUAUCCGGAAUUACUGGGCGUAAAGGGUGCGUAGGUGGUUUCUUAAGUCAGAAGUGAAAGGCUACGGCUCAACCGUAGUAAGCUUUUGAAACUAAGAGACUUGAGUGCAGGAGAGGAGAGUAGAAUUCCUAGUGUAGCGGUGAAAUGCGUAGAUAUUAGGAGGAAUACCAGUUGCGAAGGCGGCUCUCUGGACUGUAACUGACACUGAGGCACGAAAGCGUGGGGAGCAAACAGGAUUAGAUACCCUGGUAGUCCACGCCGUAAACGAUGAGUACUAGCUGUCGGGGGUUACCCCCCUCGGUGGCGCAGCUAACGCAUUAAGUACUCCGCCUGGGAAGUACGCUCGCAAGAGUGAAACUCAAAUGAAUUGACGGG
rnacentral:rRNA from 1 species